rnacentral:rRNA from 1 species
AUGGCCAGCGAGGCGGGGAAGGCUCCGGCGAGCCCCGGCCGGCGCGUGCUCAUGUUCCCGCUGCCGUUCCAGGGCCACCUGAACCCGAUGCUACAGCUGGCGGACGUGCUGCACGCCCGGGGCCUCCGCGUCACCCUCUUCCACGCGGCCUUCAACGCGCCGGAACCCGUGGCAGGGUACCGCUUCGUGCCCGUCGGGGCCGGCGUGCCGGCCGCCGACCUCGUGCCCACGGGCAGCGACGCUGACUUCGUCGGGGCGCUGCUGCGCUUCAACGAGCGCCUGCAAGGAGCUUUCCACGACAGCCUCCGCGAGGUGCUGGAGGAGGAGGAGGGAGCGCGGCCGGCGUGCCUGGUGCUGGACUCCAACCUCCGAGGCAUGCAGGUGGUCGCCGACCGGCUCGGCGUGCCGACGCGGGUGCUUCGCACGGGUGGCGCGGCCUGCCUCGCGGCCUACAUGGCCUUCACGGCGCUCUGCGACAAGGGCCUCCUCCCGCUACAAGAUCAUGCGCAAUUGAACAUGCAACUGUAUGAUCUCCAACCACUCCAAUUGGGAGAUAUGGUCUUCUCAACCACUGCUCCGCAUGAAACAAUGUGCAAUUGCCUUGAGCGCAUUAUGGAAUCUGCUAGGUAUUCUUCUGGUGUCAUCAUUAAUACCUUCAGUGAGCUUGAAGGUGCCGACCUGCAAAAGAUCAUCCAUGGUGUAGGUGUCCCAGUGUAUGCGGUUGGUCCGCUUCACAAGAUAUCUUCAGGUGCCCAGAGCAGCCUAUUGGAUGCCGAUAAAACUUGUUUGAAUUGGCUGGACAAGCAGGAGGCGAAGUCCGUUCUAUUCGUGAGCCUUGGGAGCUUGGCAUCCAUGACCCAUGAAGAGCUCGUGGAGACCGCAUGGGGCUUAGCCAAUAGCUGCAUGCCAUUUCUUUGGGUGAUUAGGAAAAACUUGGUUCAGUGUUCAAGGAAGGUAGGCCUACUUGAAGGCUUUGAGGAGGUAACACGCGGUAGGGGAAUGGUGGUGAGCUGGGCCCCUCAACAAGAAGUCCUUGGGCACCAAGCGGUUGGUGGCUUUUGGACCCAUAACGGCUGGAACUCGACGUUGGAAAGCAUAUGUGAGGGUGUUCCAAUGAUAUGUAGACCCCAUUUUGCCGAUCAGAUGAUUAAUGCUAGGUAUGUCCAAGAAUUCUGGAAGAUAGGAUUUCAGUUAGAGGGAAAGUCGGAGAGGGGGAAGAUUGAGACGAGUGUUAGAAAGUUGUUUUGCCAGGAAGAAGGUAGAGACAUGAGGCAUAGGGCAAAUGAUCUCAAGGACAAAGCAACCCAGUGUAUGAAGAAAGGAGGCUCUUCAAAAACUAGAAUCAAUUUGUUAGUGAAUUUUAUAAUGUCAUUACCUUCUUCCAUUUAG